AGGGUUUGAUCAUGGCUCAGAUUGAACGCUGGCGGUAUGCUUUACACAUGCAAGUCGAACGGCAGCAUAGGUGCUUGCACCUGAUGGCGAGUGGCGAACGGGUGAGUAAUGUAUCGGAACAUAUCCGGAAGUGGGGGAUAACUAGUCGAAAGAUUAGCUAAUACCGCAUAUGCCCUUAGGGGGAAAGGGGGGGAUCUUAGGACCUCUCGCUUUCGGAGUGGCCGAUAUCGGAUUAGCUAGUAGGUGAGGUAAAGGCUCACCUAGGCGACGAUCCGUAGCUGGUCUGAGAGGACGACCAGCCACACUGGAACUGAGACACGGUCCAGACUCCUACGGGAGGCAGCAGUGGGGAAUUUUGGACAAUGGGGGCAACCCUGAUCCAGCCAUACCGCGUGAGUGAAGAAGGCCUUCGGGUUGUAAAGCUCUUUCAGGUGGGAAGAAACGGUCAUUGUUAAUAGCGGUGAUUAAUGACGGUACCACCAGAAGAAGCACCGGCUAACUACGUGCCAGCAGCCGCGGUAAUACGUAGGGUGCGAGCGUUAAUCGGAAUUACUGGGGCGUAAAGCGUGCGCAGGCGGCUUUAUAAGCCAGAUGUGAAAUCCCCGGGCUCAACCUGGGAACUGCAUUUGGAACUGUAAGGCUAGAGUACGGCAGAGGGGGUAGAAUUCCACGUGUAGCA
rnacentral:rRNA from 1 species